UGAGCGGCGCGCCUAACACAUGCAAGUCGCACGAGAAAGGGCUUCGGCCCCAGUAAAGUGGCGCACGGGUGCGUAACACGUAGGCAAUCUACCAUUAGGCGGGGGAUAACGUUCCGAAAGGGACGCUAAUACCGCAUGAGACCACGGACGCUUCGGCGACUGCGGUCAAAGCUGGCCUCUUCAUGAAAGCUAGCACCUAAGGACGAACCUGCGGCCCAUCAUGCUAGUUGGUAGGGUAAUGGCCUACCAAGGCGAAGACGGGUAGCUGGUCUGAGAGGAUGAUCAGCCACACUGGCACUGAAACACGGGCCAGACUCCUACGGGAGGCAGCAGUGGGGAAUAUUGGACAAUGGGCGCAAGCCUGAUCCAGCGACGCCGCGUGAGUGAUGAAGGCCUUCGGGUUGUAAAGCUCUGUUGAGGGAGAAGAAAACAGGUGGUUCAAAUAGGGCCAUCUCUUGACGGUAUCCCUUUAGAAAGCACCGGCUAACUCUGUGCCAGCAGCCGCGGUAAGACAGAGGGUGCAAACGUUGCUCGGAAUUACUGGGCGUAAAGCGCGUGUAGGCGGGCUGAUAAGUCGGACGUGAAAUCCCUGGGCUCAACCCAGGAACUGCAUCCGAAACUGUCAGUCUGGAGUGGUGGAGAGGGAAGCAGAAUUCCUGGUGUAGAGGUGAAAUUCGUAGAUAUCAGGAGGAACCCCGGUGGCGAAGGCGGCUUCCUGGACACUAACUGAC
rnacentral:rRNA from 1 species